rnacentral:rRNA from 1 species
GACGAACGCUGGCGGCGUGCCUAAUACAUGCAAGUAGAACGCUGAAGGAGGAGCUUGCUUCUCUGGAUGAGUUGCGAACGGGUGAGUAACGCGUAGGUAACCUGCCUGGUAGCGGGGGAUAACUAUUGGAAACGAUAGCUAAUACCGCAUAAUAGUAGAUGUUGCAUGACAUUUGCCUAAAAGGUGCAAUUGCAUCACUACCAGAUGGACCUGCGUUGUAUUAGCUAGUUGGUGGGGUAACGGCUCACCAAGGCGACGAUACAUAGCCGACCUGAGAGGGUGAUCGGCCACACUGGGACUGAGACACGGCCCAGACUCCUACGGGAGGCAGCAGUAGGGAAUCUUCGGCAAUGGACGGAAGUCUGACCGAGCAGCGCCGCGUGAGUGAAGAAGGUUUUCGGAUCGUAAAGCUCUGUUGUAAGAGAAGAACGAGUGUGAGAGUGGAAAGUUCACACUGUGACGGUAUCUUACCAGAAAGGGACGGCUAACUACGUG